rnacentral:rRNA from 1 species
UACGUAGGGUGCAAGCGUUGUCCGGAAUUAUUGGGCGUAAAGAGCUCGUAGGCGGUUUGUCGCGUCUGCUGUGAAAACUCGGGGCUUAACCCCGGGCCUGCAGUGGGUACGGGCAGACUAGAGUGCGGUAGGGGAGACUGGAAUUCCUGGUGUAGCGGUGAAAUUCGUAGAUAUUGGGAAGAACACCGGUGGCGAAGGCGGCGACCUGGUCCGUGACUGACGCUGAGGCGCGAAAGCGUGGGGAGCAAACAGG